CAUAUAACACACUGCCUAGGGCUGGGUUUUGUCCUUCUAGUACAGAGAGCUGUUAGGUGGUGAUCUGUGGGACUUGGAUGUUGGUAAAAGUUUUGGACCUGGAUAUCGGUGAAGUUUUGGACUCGGAUGCUGGUGACUUCUUGUACUUGACAGAUUGGUCUUGGUACGAGCAUUUAUAUCGACAAAGAUGAGGAAGUGGGAAAUGGCUCAAGGCAACACCCUACAGUACAACUCCUUUGACGAAGAGGCUUUAACAGAGCACUAUCAAAUCCUAAAGACCCUUGGUCGGGGAGCAUUUGGAGAAGUAAAAUUGGCUAGCCAUCUACUCACCCAGACAAAGGUAGCAGUAAAAGUUCUCCCAAAAAGCUCAAAGAACAUCUUCAUCAAAUCAGAAAUUGAAAUAAUGAAAUCUCUAGACCAUCCCAAUAUCAUUAAACUUCUUCACAUAAUCGACACCACAAAAAACACUUACCUGGUUAUGGAGCAUGCCAUAGGCGGAGAGCUGAUGGCCAGGAUUGUGGAGUUUGGCUACCUACCUGAGGACGAGUCCCGUAAGGUAUUUAAACAGAUGGUGUGUGCCCUUCAGUAUUGUCACAGGAAAGGGAUUGCUCACAGGGAUCUAAAGCCUGAAAAUAUUUUAGUGGACGGCAAAGGAAAUAUAAAACUCAGUGAUUUUGGGCUGGGCACCAAGCUUCCCAUGGGGCAGAAGCUAGCAUAUUUCUGUGGGACCCUUCCUUAUUGCGCCCCAGAACUCUUUGAAGGUGGAGGCUACGAUGGCCGAGCAAUCGACAUCUGGAGUUUGGGAGUUGUACUCUACUUUAUGUCUACAGGGUGCCUCCCUUUCAAGGGAACUACCUUUGGAAUACUAAAGGACAAAAUCUUGGCAGGAAAGUACCCCGUUAAUUUCAAGCUGUCGCCAGAGCUUUGGGAUGUUAUUGCUAAGUUGUUAACCGUAAAUCCUGGAGAAAGACCAAGAAUAGGUGACGUUGUGGGCUUUCAAUGGCUGAAGCAUGGCAAUGAAGGUUCUCCCAAUCCCUUUAGAGAGAACAAUGAGGACAGCUACCCAGACCCCACUGUGAUGGUCAUCAUGGGCGUCAUGGGUUAUAAGCAAGGAGAGAUAAUGGAAGCUUUACGGGAGAAGAAGUUUGAUCAAGUGAUGGCCACCUACUUGAUUCUUAGGCAGCAGUCACCCUGGGAAGAUGACAUUAUAAAACAUCUUCGGCCCAAGCAGUCUGCUGGAACCUUGAACCUUAAAGGCCUUCCCACAAUACCUAAAGUGACUAUAAAGAGGGGAUCUAGUGUCCCUAUCCUUCCCACUUCUUCCAUUUUGCCCACUCUACCUGAGAGUCCCGAGAAUGACAAAAAGGGGAAAACGAGGUACAGUAUGCCUCCCACCGUGAACUGCCCUGACAAGAAAACAGCCCCAGUUCACAGAAUCUGCCCCCAGCGUGUACAUGAGGCUACUUUCAUGAACAGCGCCCGGGGGGAUUCAGAGAGCACUAUUAACACCUCCGAUGAAAUAUGUACCACAGUGUCUUCAGCACUGGAAACUUAUUCCAGCAAGUUAUCCUGGAAUGUGUCCAAAGCUGGCCCUAACAAAUCAAAGAGCAAGGCGUCCUCACAGGAUGUUUUAUCUCAUCACACCCCAAUGGAGGAAGUUCAGUGCCAAGACGUCAACAUACCAGGUGAAAUUAUUGGCUCAUCUCUCCCACAAACCUCACCUCAGGAGGACCUCAGAGGACAGCCCCACAGCAUGUCUACUGCUAGUCGGAGAGGUGAAAGGACCAGCUCAUCGCUCUCACAAACCGCACCUCAGGAGGACCUCAGAGGACAGCCCCACAGAGUGGCUACAGCUAGUCGGAGAGGUGAAAGGACCAGGUCAUCUCUCCUACAAACUGCACCUCAGGAGGACCUCAGAGGACAGCCCCACAGUGUGGCUACAGCUGUUUCAAAGAACAUGACCUCACAGGAUAGAUCACCCCCAUUCUCCAGCAAGGAGGCCCAGGAUGAGGGUCUCAUCGUACAAGAAAAAGACCUCAGCCCAUCCUCCCCAGAAACAUCCCAGGGACACCUCAGUGGCCGGUGCCAGACUGCACCCAGAGCCCCCUUUAGAAAGCGGAUUUGGAAGAGCCUACAGAGCAGGAUUAUAAAAGGCCUGAGAAGUUUAUGCUGCUGCAUACCAACAGAAAAGAGGGAGCGCCUAGGCUGCAACAAAAUCCUGCCUGUGACCUUAGAGGGCCAUGGAGGGAGCCAAGGUAACAGUGCUGUUGGAGGCACUGUGCUCCCCCUAAGCUGAAACCAGAGAAUGGGGAGCAGCAUGCUGAGGAUGCACACGGGCGCUGGAGAGAGCCAGGAAAACAGGCCUCAGAGGACCUUCCACGCACAGUGUGAUCGUCAUUCCAGCUACCUGUCUCCAGGUGUACCAUGAGCCAUUAGAAGAGAGAGCGGCACCGGAAGCAGAGGAGGACCCCAGAGGGCCUGCCCAGUUUGUAUGUGUUCACGAUGAAUAUUGCUGACCAGGUUGGAGCCAGACACAGAGGGACGAGUUUGCAGGGAGUGUCCAUCUUGUGCUCAUUUGGGAAGGUAGAGUGUGUGAGAACAGGAGUCAUAUGAAGCCAACACAUGCCAUGGUGCACAUUUUGCCCCAGGGCAUCCGGUCCUGUGCAAGGUAAGGCCCACCAGCUGUGCUUUGAGUGGAAGCAAGGUGAAGUCUGGAGUGUUUGACAGUUGGAUUCAGAGAUGGAGCUGGUUCCAAGCGUGAUCGUGGAUAGAAUCUGUUGAUGGAAAAACAAUGGCAACCCCCGGCCUGACAGUGCGGGUGUUCCUCUGGGUGGCUCAUGGUCUCCUGCCAUAUUUCCACCUCCUAAGAUAUCUCAGAGACACCUAAAGAGAUUUAAGGGGUCAGAUUCACACCCCUCCUUAGGCCCACACUCUAGUACACCCCAAGACCACACUUUAGUACACCCCAAGACCACACUCUACUACACCCCAAGAUACUAUUUUCAAUAGUAUCUCACACAAAGAUCCCAGCCGUUUUCUUUCUGACAUCCUGUAGGGACAUUACUGUUGCUGAGGCUUUGUGUCCCCAGGCAGCAGGCUGGGAAAGUCCUUUGCUGCCUGUAUGACCCUAUGCUGGGGCUACCAAAGAGACUCCUGGGACUACACUCAGCAAGGGACAUUUUCAACUGGAUGGUGCUUAGAGCAGGAGAUGCCACUCAAGCCCUAACACACUGGAUGGAAGAGGGACACACAGGUCUCCUUGAUAAAAGAGGCUUCUUCUGAUUGACAGAGAAGUUGGGCCAGAGACUCACAAGCAGAUGGACUAAAGAGGAACAAGGGAAAAUGUCUACUGAUCCAGGUGAAGAUCAGCCAUGGAGGAUAUGCUCAGAGAGCUGGGCAUAAGAUUGCUCUGCAGAAGUGUUACCAAGAAAGACAGGCACCAGACAAAAAGAUAUACGGCACAAAUAUCUGAAUAAAGAGACUGUUUUCUUGCUACAAUAAAUUCCUUUGUAUAUUUGAA